GGUGGUUUUCAGGUGAUGCACCCUGGAAUCAGGCUCACUCAUUUCUGGUUCCAUGUGCAUCACCUGAGAACCACC
rfam:Myotis brandtii contig228365, whole genome shotgun sequence.